CUUCGGAAUUAGAGACCGGCGCACGGGUGCGUAACGCGUAUGCAAUCUACCUUUCACAGAGGGAUAGCCCAGAGAAAUUUGGAUUAAUACCUCAUAGUAUAAUACCUUGGCAUCAAGGAAUUAUUAAAGUCACAACGGUGAAAGAUGAGCAUGCGUCCCAUUAGCUAGUUGGUAAGGUAACGGCUUACCAAGGCGACGAUGGGUAGGGGUCCUGAGAGGGAGAUCCCCCACACUGGUACUGAGACACGGACCAGACUCCUACGGGAGGCAGCAGUGAGGAAUAUUGGACAAUGGGCGCAAGCCUGAUCCAGCCAUGCCGCGUGCAGGAUGACGGUCCUAUGGAUUGUAAACUGCUUUUGUACAGGAAGAAACCCUUUCACGUGUGGAAGAUUGACGGUACUGUAAGAAUAAGGAUCGGCUAACUCCGUGCCAGCAGCCGCGGUAAUACGGAGGAUCCAAGCGUUAUCCGGAAUCAUUGGGUUUAAAGGGUCCGUAGGCGGUCAGAUAAGUCAGUGGUGAAAGCCCAUCGCUCAACGGUGGAACGGCCAUUGAUACUGUCUGACUUGAAUUAUUAGGAAGUAACUAGAAUAUGUAGUGUAGCGGUGAAAUGCUUAGAGAUUACAUGGAAUACCAAUUGCGAAGGCAGGUUACUACUAAUUGAUUGACGCUGAUGGACGAAAGCGUGGGUAGCGAACAGGAUUAGAUACCCUGGUAGUCCACGCCGUAAACGAUGGAUACUAGCUGUUGGGCGCAAGUCCAGUGGCUAAGCGAAAGUGAUAAGUAUCCCACCUGGGGAGUACGUUCGCAAGAAUGAAACUCAAAGGAAUUGACGGGGGCCCGCGCAAGCGGUGGAGCAUGUGGUUUAAUUCGAUGAUACGCGAGGAACCUUACCAAGGCUAAAUGUAGAUUGACCGGUUUGGAAACAGACUUUCGCAGACAUUUACAGUGCUGCAUGUUGUCGUCAGCUCG
rnacentral:rRNA from 1 species